GACAGAGGAUGCAAGCGUUUAUCCGGAAUGAUUGGGCGUAAAGCGUCUGUAGGUGGCUUUUUAAGUCCGCCGUCAAAUCCCCGGGCUCAACCUGGGAAUUGCGUUGGAGACUGCAAGGCUGGAGUCUGGCAGAGGGGGGGUAGAAUUCCACGUGUAGCAGUGAAAUGCGUGAGAGAUGUGGAGGAACACCGAUGGCGAAGGCAGCCCCCUGGGUCAAGACUGACGCUCACGCACGAAAGCGUGGGGA
rnacentral:rRNA from 1 species